CAACUACUCCCUCUGUCCCAAAUUUCUUGUCUUAGAUUUGUCUAGAUACAGAUGUAUCUAAUACUAAAAUGUGACUUGAUACAUCCGUAUCUAGACAAAUCUAAGACAAGAAUUUUGGGACGGAGGGAGUACUUU
rfam:Triticum urartu cultivar G1812 contig895769, whole genome shotgun sequence.